rnacentral:rRNA from 1 species
AUUGAACGCUGGCGGCAGGCCUAACACAUGCAAGUCGAGCGGAAGAAGGGAGCUUGCUCCUGGAUUCAGCGGCGGACGGGUGAGUAAUGCCUAGGAAUCUGCGUGGUAGUGGGGGAUAACGUCCGGAAACGGGCGCUAAUACCGCAUACGCCCUGAGGGAGAAAGUGGGGGAUCUUCGGACCUCACGCUAUCAGAUGAGCCUAGGUCGGAUUAGCUAGUUGGUGGGGUAAAGGCCUACCAAGGCGACGAUCCGUAGCUGGUCUGAGAGGAUGAUCAGUCACACUGGAACUGAGACACGGUCCAGACUCCUACGGGAGGCAGCAGUGGGGAAUAUUGGACAAUGGGCGAAAGCCUGAUCCAGCCAUGCCGCGUGUGUGAAGAAGGUCUUCGGAUUGUAAAGCACUUUUGUUUGGAAAGAAAGGCAGUAAGUUAAUACCUUGCUGUUUUGACGUUACCAACAGAAUAAGCACCGGCUAACUUCGUG